rnacentral:rRNA from 1 species
UACGGAAGGCAGCAGUGGGGAAUAUUGCACAAUGGGCGCAAGCCUGAUGCAGCCAUGCCGCGUGUAUGAAGAAGGCCUUCGGGUUGUAAAGUACUUUCAGCGGGGAGGAAGGCGAUGCGGUUAAUAACCGCGUCGAUUGACGUUACCCGCAGAAGAAGCACCGGCUAACUCCGUGCCAGCAGCCGCGGUAAUACGGAGGGUGCAAGCGUUAAUCGGAAUUACUGGGCGUAAAGCGCACGCAGGCGGUCUGUUAAGUCAGAUGUGAAAUCCCCGGGCUUAACCUGGGAACUGCAUUUGAAACUGGCAGGCUUGAGUCUUGUAGAGGGGGUAGAAGUUCCAGGUGUAGCGGUGAAAUGCGUAGAGAUCUGGAGGAAUACCGGUGGCGAAAGGCGGCCCCCUGGGACAAAAGACUGACGCUCAGGUGCGAAAGCGUGGGGAGCGAAAACAGGAUUAGGAUACC